rnacentral:rRNA from 1 species
CAGUCGCCACGGGAAAACAGAGGGUGCAAGCGUUAAUCGGAAUUACUGGGCGCAAAGCGCGCGUAGGUGGUUUGUUAAGUUGGAUGUGAAAUCCCCGGGCUCAACCUGGGAACUGCAUUCAAAACUGACUGACUAGAGUAUGGUAGAGGGUGGUGGAAUUUCCUGUGUAGCGGUGAAAUGCGUAGAUAUAGGAAGGAACACCAGUGGCGAAGGCGACCACCUGGACUGAUACUGACACUGAGGUGCGAAAGCGUGGGGAGCAAACAGGAUUAGAUACCCGCGUAGUCCCUGUCUCUUAUAC